rnacentral:rRNA from 1 species
AGUGAACGCUGGCGGUAGGCCUAACACAUGCAAGUCGAACGGCAGCACAGUAAGAGCUUGCUCUUACGGGUGGCGAGUGGCGGACGGGUGAGGAAUACAUCGGAAUCUACUUUUUCGUGGGGGAUAACGUAGGGAAACUUACGCUAAUACCGCAUACGACCUACGGGUGAAAGCAGGGGAUCUUCGGACCUUGCGCGAUUGAAUGAGCCGAUGUCGGAUUAGCUAGUUGGCGGGGUAAAGGCCCACCAAGGCGACGAUCCGUAGCUGGUCUGAGAGGAUGAUCAGCCACACUGGAACUGAGACACGGUCCAGACUCCUACGGGAGGCAGCAGUGGGGAAUAUUGGACAAUGGGCGCAAGCCUGAUGCAGCCAUACCGCGUGGGUGAAGAAGGCCUUCGGGUUGUAAAGCCCUUUUGUUGGGAAAGAAAAGCAGCAGGAUAAAACGCCGCUGUUCUGACGGUACCCAAAGAAUAAGCACCGGCUAACUUCGUG